rnacentral:tRNA from 1 species
GGUAAUAUAAUUUAUAUAGAAUAUUUAGUUUGCAUCUAAAAGGAAGUAGAUCUUUUUACCA